GCCUUGGUGGUGUACUGAUCAACACACUCGACGCGUAACUAAGAGGUCCGUGGUUCGAUUCCCGGCGAGGGCA
rnacentral:tRNA from 1 species